AUCCAUCUGACGAGUCCCAAAUAGGACGAAACGUGUGUCAAACUGGGU
rfam:Schistosoma rodhaini strain Burundi genome assembly, scaffold: SROB_scaffold0002475